AGUAGCAUUUCGCUUGCCUUGCUGCCUGGAGCCUCCUUAAAGGAGAAGAUGAAUUCACUGCAUGUGUGCGCGGGCCUUAUGUAAGCUGCAGGCGGCAGCGCAGAGUGGAGAACGUGAAGACAGGCGGGGGCAGGGAGAUUUGGCGAGGCAGGCCCCGCAGUGCAGAAACCAGCUCUGAAAGCUGCGCGUGGAGUUAAAAUGCUCUGACUUGAGUUUUGAGUAUGGGCCUCCAAUGACUCUUCUUGUCCUGGAUCAAAACCUCAGGAGACAGUUAAUUUACCUCAUACUUAUAACUUUGACAAUCAAACAGCUUAACAGCUAUUUCAGACAUCUAUUCCUGCUAGAGGAUGCACUGUCCCUAUUUUUGGAAGCCGGCUGACGCAGAAGAAAGCCACCUCCCCCCGCCGCCGCCCCAACAGACACGCACUUUGCUGACAUUUUUCCUAGAAUAAACAGUGAUUCAGCUGAGAUAGCUUGACCGGAUCACUGUUGAGAACAAAAUGAUAUGAUUGUUAUAUGAAGCAAGAGGUGGUCCAAGAAGAAGGUAUAAUCUCCAGGGAGCAGACAGACACUUCUAAAAUCAAUAGACUGAUGAUUCACACUGCAGUCAAGUUCUGCUGGAAAGUAAGAGAUAAAUAUGCAUUUAUGAGAUUCAGAAUGCUAUUUUCAAACACCUGCAAAGAAGAGAACACUGUGUCAAUGUAUCCAGUCACAUAUUUGAGAGUCUGCAGAACCUGUCUACCUAAUGCCCAUUGGGAUGUGGUAAGCGGAUGUAGGAUGUAGUACUGAAGAAUGUAGGAAGGGGAAUAGGUGUUUGCAUCUGUCCAGGUGGGUUUUUUUGUUUGUUUGUUUGUUUGUUUGUUUUUGACACACUUGUGGCAUGUAGAAGUUCUCGGGCUAGAGAUAAAACCUUGGCCAUAGCAGUGAUCAAAGUCACAGAAGUGACAACUCUGGAUCCUUAAUCCUCUGUGCACAGGAGAACACCAGGAAGAACUUUUUUAAAAAAACUUUGCAUUUCUUUUAUUUUUUAAAUUCAUCUUUAUUGAGAUAUAAUGGGCAAAUAAAAUUAUAAGAUAUUUAAAGGG
rnacentral:lncRNA from 1 species